UAAUACGAAGGGACCUAGCGUAGUUCGGAAUUACUGGGCUUAAAGAGUUCGUAGGUGGUUGAAAAAGUUGGUGGUGAAAUCCCAGAGCUUAACUCUGGAACUGCCAUCAAAACUUUUCAGCUAGAGUAUGAUAGAGGAAAGCAGAAUUUCUAGUGUAGAGGUGAAAUUCGUAGAUAUUAGAAAGAAUACCAAUUGCGAAGGCAGCUUUCUGGAUCAUUACUGACACUGAGGAACGAAAGCAUGGGUAGCGAAGAGGAUUAGAUACCCCCGUAGUCCAUGCCGUAAACGAUGUGUGUUAGACGUUGGAAAUUUAUUUUCAGUGUCGCAGCGAAAGCGAUAAACACACCGCCUGGGGAGUACGACCGCAAGGUUAAAACUCAAAUGAAUUGACGGGGACCCGCACAAGUAGUGGAGCAUGUGGUUUAAUUCGAAGAUACGCGCAGAACCUUACCAACACUUGACAUGUUCGUCGCGACUCUAAGAGAUUAGAGUUUUCGGUUCGGCCGGACGAAACACAGGUGCUGCAUGGCUGUCGUCAGCUCGUGUCGUGAGAUGUUGGGUUAAGUCCCGCAACGAGCGCAACCCUCACUUUUAGUUGCCAUCAUUAAGUUGGGCACUCUGAAAGAACUGCCAGUGAUAAGCUGGAGGAAGGUGGGGAUGACGUCAAGUCCUCAUGGCCCUUACGUGUUGGGCUACACACGUGCUACAAUGGUAUCUACAACAGGAAGCAAGACUGCGAGGUCAAGCAAAUCCCUAGAAGAUACCUCAGUUCGGAUUGCACUCUGCAACUCGAGUGCAUGAAGCUGGAAUUACUAGUAAUCGUGGAUCAGCGUGCCACGGUGAAUGCGUUCCCGGGUCUUGUACACACCGCCCGUCACACCAUGGGAGUUGGUUCUACCUUAAGGCAAGGUUUAAAACCCUUGACCACGGUAUAGUCAGCGACUGGGGUG
rnacentral:rRNA from 1 species